rnacentral:lncRNA from 1 species
ACCGCGGGCACGGGAUCCCACCUGUGUGCUGGGGGUUCCUGCGUGCCGCGGGCAGCAACAGCGUGCGGUUGCUGAAGCGAGCUGGAAAUAAGGGAGAUGAGUUACAAGGGGCAGUAGCCGGGAGGAAAUAAAAAAAAAAUAAUUAAAAGCUGAGGGAUUCUCCACAGCCCCCGUCAACAGAAUCUCCAAGUAAAGUUACAGGAUGCAGAUACAGGUUUUAACUACAGUGAACCUGCUGCUGAAGCAUCUCUUCAGUGCCUUUUCUUCCCCACCUAUUGAACUGCAUUUUCCUCGGCACAUCUACUCAGCACUACAGGAACUUUCAUACAUGCUAGAGUGUUUCUCAUGAGUGACUCAAAUGGAAAUGGAAGUUGAUCCCUACGACAUGUGGUCCCCUACACUUGUCUCUGCAUACAGGAAAGCUGGACACUCAGCCCAGUAUAGGUCUCUUUCAGGCACCUGCUUGUGUUCUCCCAUGGCAUCCUUUACAGUUGGGAUGAGGUACACAAAAUGGUUCAUUAUUGUCAGAUUGAAAAUCUUUUGCAAAACAUCUUCC